rnacentral:rRNA from 1 species
UGGGGAAUAUUGCACAAUGGGCGCAAGCCUGAUGCAGCCAUGCCGCGUGUAUGAAGAAGGCCUUCGGGUUGUAAAGUACUUUCAGCGAGGAGGAAGGCGUUGUGGUUAAUAACCGCAACGAUUGACGUUACUCGCAGAAGAAGCACCGGCUAACUCCGUGCCAGCAGCCGCGGUAAUACGGAGGGGGCAAGCGGUAAUCGGGAUUACUGGGCGUAAAGCGCACGCAGGCGGUCUGUCAAGUCGGAUGUGAAAUCCCCGGGCUCAACCUGGGAACUGCAUCCGAAACUGGCAGGCUAGAGUCUUGUAGAGGGGGGUAGAAUUCCAGGUGUAGCGGUGAAAUGCGUAGAGAUCUGGAGGAAUACCGGUGGCGAAGGCGGCCCCCUGGACAAAGACUGACGCUCAGGUGCGAAAGCGUGGGGAGCAAACA